AUGGUUCAGCUCUUUCUGCAAGUGCCGGCAGACGACGGCAGUGUCGAUACAGAUGCUGUGAGAGCGAGGAGGUCUCUGCUGGACAAGGCUGAGUCGGUGAUCAAGUCGGUUGUAAGGUCCGGAGGCCGGUACGAGGCUCGGAUGUGGCUGUGCAGUACCGUCUCGUCGAUUCAUCUGCUCGAUCCGCGUGACCAGCGGGACCUGUUCCUCCAUCUCCUGGAGAUGAAGGACUUGAGGCGGGAUGUCGCUGCACGCCUGCUGCGGAUGAUUUUCGACAAGAAGCCUGCGAAGGCUGGCUCCGUUUUAGCGAAGAAGUGUCAUAUGCUGGAGAAAUUUUUUGAAGGAAACCCUGAGCGGAUACUGCAAUGGUUUAGCCACUUUGCUGCUACUGGGGAGUCAGCACACAAAAAGGGUGCUCGGGCACUUGCUCAGUUUGCAUUUGUUAAUCGUGAUGUUUGCUGGGAGGAGCUUGAGUGGAAAGGCAGGCAUGAUCAAUUUGUCUAUUUGAUGUAUGAGGGGAAUUUCAAAGAUGUGUGGCAAGUAGUUGAAGAUUUUCUGAUGGAGGAGCAGUUUUCCACCCUGUCUCAGUAUGUUCUUAUUCAUCUAGACGAACAAAGGCUUCUUCGUUUCUUAAAAACAUUAGGGAAGCUCAUCAGUCCGGAUGCACAGUGCACAAAGUUAGCAUUCCCAUGCUGCUGGCUUGAGGUUCUUUUGUCGGCACAUAUUGAUCAGAUAUCUCUUGAUGAACUUAUCCUAUUGAACUGUGUCAUUGCCAAGGGUAGACAACUUUGGCAUCUCAUGAAUGACGAAGAACACGAGGAAGAACGAGGGAGGAUGAACGAGCUUGUGAGGACCAUGAAUGACUUGACUGAUGCUAAUCAUUUUGCUCUCAUAAAGGAUUUCAUGGGUACAAAGUUUCCUGACGCACUCAAGUGGAUAGGCAUCCAGUCCUGGGUAAUUUUAUGUGGUUUGUCAAAAUUAUGCAAAUCAGCUGUUUCUUGUGAAUCUCUGUUCACUGGUAACAGCAUAGAAUUUCGCAAGGCUUAUGAUUAUUCAUUGGUUCAGAACGAUGGGCACUCAGUUUCACAUACUUCAGAUACUGAUGAGAAGGAUCUGACUAGAAGUAGUCAUAAAAAAAGAAAGAGAGAUAAGAAGAGAAGACGACAUAGAUAUGAUUCCGACGAGGAUAAUGUUGAUCAGCUGCUUGAACUGAGAACUUUCACUGGGAAGAGGGCUAUUGAAUCACAAUGUGGAAGCUGGUACCUGUCAACUGAUGACUUCUCUGCUCCUUGGGACAUUGCCGACAUACCGGAUCACCUUUCUACUUGUUAUCUUAGAGUGUGGCUGAAAUGGGCUUGCUUUAGAUGA
rnacentral:rRNA from 1 species